rnacentral:rRNA from 1 species
ACGCUCGACACCUACGGGAAGCAGCAGUGGGGAAUAUUGCACAAUGGGGGAAACCCUGAUGCAGCGACGCCGCGUGGAGGAAGAAGGUCUUCGGAUUGUAAACUCCUGUUGUUGGGGAAAAAGAGGAUGGUACCCAACAAGGAAGUGACGGCUAACUACGUGCCGACAGCCGCGGUAAUCUGAGCGGGCUGGCAAGGC